CUUAUGGGGGCUUUAUGGGGUCCUAUGGGGUCCUUAUGAGGCUCCGGGGGCUCUAUGGGGUCCUUAUGGGGUCAUAUGGGUUCUUAUGGGGUCCUUAUGGGGUUCUAUGGGGUCUUUAUGGGGUCCUAUGGGGCUCUAUGGAGUCCUUAUGGGGCUCUAUGGGGUCCUUAUGGGGCCCUUAUGGGGUCCUAUGGGGUCCUAUGGGGGCUUAAAGGGGUCCUUAUGGGGUCCUAUGGGGGUUUAAAGGGGUUCUAUGGGGCCCUAUGGGGGCUUUAUAGGGUCCUAUGUGGUCCUAUGGGGUCCUUAUGGGGUUCUAUGGGGCUCUAUGGGGUCCUAUAGGGGCCUAAAAAGGUUCUAUGGGGUCCUAUGGGGUUCUAUGGGGUCUUUAUGGCGUCCUACGGGACUCUAUGGGGUCCUUAUGGGGUUUUAUGGGGUCUUAUGGGGUCCUAUGCGGCUCUAUGAGGUCUUAUGGGAUCCUAUGGGGUCCUAUGGGGUCCUAUGGGGUCCUAUGGGGUCCUAUGGGGUCUUAUGGGGUCCUAUGGGGUCCUCAUGAGGCUCUAUGGGGCUCUAUGGGGACCUUAUGUGGGAUUAAAAGGGUCUCAUGGAGUUCUAUGGGGUCUUAUGGGGUCCUAUGGGGUCCUUAUGGGGUCUUAUGGGGUCCUUAUGGGGCUCUAUGGGGUCCUAUGGGGUUCUAUGGGGGCUUCAAGUGGUCUUUAUGGGGUCUUUAUGGGGUCCUAUGGGGUCCUUAUGGGGCCCUAUGGGGUCUUUAUAGGGUCCUAUGGGGCUCUAUGGGGUCCUUAUGGGGGCUUAAAAGGGUCUUAUGGGGUUCUAUGGGGUCCUUAUGGGGUCCUUUGGGGGCUUAAAUGAGUCCUAUGGGACUCUAUGAGGUCUUUAUGGGGUCCUAUGGGGGUUUAAAGGGGUCCUAUAGGGUCCUUAUGGGGUCCUUAUGGGGAUCUAUGGGGGCUUUAUGGGGUCCUAUGGGGGCUUAAAGGGGUUCUAUGGGGUCCUAUGGGACUCUAUGGGGGCUUUAUGGGGUCCUAUGGGGUCCUAUGGGGUCUUAUGGGCUCCUAUGGGGUCCUUAUGGGGUUUUAUGGGGUCCAAUGGGGUCCUAUGGGGCUCUAUGAGGUCUUAUGGGGUUCUAUGGGGUCCUUAUGGGGUUCUUAUGGGGUCCCCAUGGGGUUCUAUGGGGUCCCUAUGGGGUCCUUGCGAGGCUCUGUGGGGCUCUAUGUGGUCUUUAUGAG
ensembl:lncRNA